UUAAGCGACUAAGCGUACACGGUGGAUGCCCUGGCAGUCAGAGGCGAUGAAGGACGUGCUAAUCUGCGAUAAGCGUCGGUAAGGUGAUAUGAACCGUUAUAACCGGCGAUUUCCGAAUGGGGAAACCCAGUGUGAUUCGUCACACUAUCAUUAACUGAAUCCAUAGGUUAAUGAGGCGAACCGGGGGAACUGAAACAUCUAAGUACCCCGAGGAAAAGAAAUCAACCGAGAUUCCCCCAGUAGCGGCGAGCGAACGGGGAGCAGCCCAGAGCCUGAAUCAGUGUGUGUGUUAGUGGAAGCGUCUGGAAAGGCGCGCGAUACAGGGUGACAGCCCCGUACACAAAAAUGCACAUGCUGUGAGCUCGAUGAGUAGGGCGGGACACGUGGUAUCCUGUCUGAAUAUGGGGGGACCAUCCUCCAAGGCUAAAUACUCCUGACUGACCGAUAGUGAACCAGUACCGUGAGGGAAAGGCGAAAAGAACCCCGGCGAGGGGAGUGAAAAAGAACCUGAAACCGUGUACGUACAAGCAGUGGGAGCACGCUUAGGCGUGUGACUGCGUACCUUUUGUAUAAUGGGUCAGCGACUUAUAUUCUGUAGCAAGGUUAACCGAAUAGGGGAGCCGAAGGGAAACCGAGUCUUAACUGGGCGUUAAGUUGCAGGGUAUAGACCCGAAACCCGGUGAUCUAGCCAUGGGCAGGUUGAAGGUUGGGUAACACUAACUGGAGGACCGAACCGACUAAUGUUGAAAAAUUAGCGGAUGACUUGUGGCUGGGGGUGAAAGGCCAAUCAAACCGGGAGAUAGCUGGUUCUCCCCGAAAGCUAUUUAGGUAGCGCCUCGUGAAUUCAUCUCCGGGGGUAGAGCACUGUUUCGGCAAGGGGGUCAUCCCGACUUACCAACCCGAUGCAAACUGCGAAUACCGGAGAAUGUUAUCACGGGAGACACACGGCGGGUGCUAACGUCCGUCGUGAAGAGGGAAACAACCCAGACCGCCAGCUAAGGUCCCAAAGUCAUGGUUAAGUGGGAAACGAUGUGGGAAGGCCCAGACAGCCAGGAUGUUGGCUUAGAAGCAGCCAUCAUUUAAAGAAAGCGUAAUAGCUCACUGGUCGAGUCGGCCUGCGCGGAAGAUGUAACGGGGCUAAACCAUGCACCGAAGCUGCGGCAGCGACGCUGAUGCGUUGUUGGGUAGGGGAGCGUUCUGUAAGCCUGUGAAGGUGUGCUGUGAGGCAUGCUGGAGGUAUCAGAAGUGCGAAUGCUGACAUAAGUAACGAUAAAGCGGGUGAAAAGCCCGCUCGCCGGAAGACCAAGGGUUCCUGUCCAACGUUAAUCGGGGCAGGGUGAGUCGACCCCUAAGGCGAGGCCGAAAGGCGUAGUCGAUGGGAAACAGGUUAAUAUUCCUGUACUUGGUGUUACUGCGAAGGGGGGACGGAGAAGGCUAUGUUGGCCGGGCGACGGUUGUCCCGGUUUAAGCGUGUAGGCUGGUUUUCCAGGCAAAUCCGGAAAAUCAAGGCUGAGGCGUGAUGACGAGGCACUACGGUGCUGAAGCAACAAAUGCCCUGCUUCCAGGAAAAGCCUCUAAGCAUCAGGUAACAUCAAAUCGUACCCCAAACCGACACAGGUGGUCAGGUAGAGAAUACCAAGGCGCUUGAGAGAACUCGGGUGAAGGAACUAGGCAAAAUGGUGCCGUAACUUCGGGAGAAGGCACGCUGAUAUGUAGGUGAAGUCCCUCGCGGAUGGAGCUGAAAUCAGUCGAAGAUACCAGCUGGCUGCAACUGUUUAUUAAAAACACAGCACUGUGCAAACACGAAAGUGGACGUAUACGGUGUGACGCCUGCCCGGUGCCGGAAGGUUAAUUGAUGGGGUUAGCGCAAGCGAAGCUCUUGAUCGAAGCCCCGGUAAACGGCGGCCGUAACUAUAACGGUCCUAAGGUAGCGAAAUUCCUUGUCGGGUAAGUUCCGACCUGCACGAAUGGCGUAAUGAUGGCCAGGCUGUCUCCACCCGAGACUCAGUGAAAUUGAACUCGCUGUGAAGAUGCAGUGUACCCGCGGCAAGACGGAAAGACCCCGUGAACCUUUACUAUAGCUUGACACUGAACAUUGAGCCUUGAUGUGUAGGAUAGGUGGGAGGCUUUGAAGUGUGGACGCCAGUCUGCAUGGAGCCGGCCUUGAAAUACCACCCUUUAAUGUUUGAUGUUCUAACGUUGACCCGUAAUCCGGGUUGCGGACAGUGUCUGGUGGGUAGUUUGACUGGGGCGGUCUCCUCCUAAAGAGUAACGGAGGAGCACGAAGGUUGGCUAAUCCUGGUCGGACAUCAGGAGGUUAGUGCAAUGGCAUAAGCCAGCUUGACUGCGAGCGUGACGGCGCGAGCAGGUGCGAAAGCAGGUCAUAGUGAUCCGGUGGUUCUGAAUGGAAGGGCCAUCGCUCAACGGAUAAAAGGUACUCCGGGGAUAACAGGCUGAUACCGCCCAAGAGUUCAUAUCGACGGCGGUGUUUGGCACCUCGAUGUCGGCUCAUCACAUCCUGGGGCUGAAGUAGGUCCCAAGGGUAUGGCUGUUCGCCAUUUAAAGUGGUACGCGAGCUGGGUUUAGAACGUCGUGAGACAGUUCGGUCCCUAUCUGCCGUGGGCGCUGGAGAACUGAGGGGGGCUGCUCCUAGUACGAGAGGACCGGAGUGGACGCAUCACUGGUGUUCGGGUUGUCAUGCCAAUGGCACUGCCCGGUAGCUAAAUGCGGAAGAGAUAAGUGCUGAAAGCAUCUAAGCACGAAACUUGCCCCGAGAUGAGUUCUCCCUGACCCUUUAAGGGUCCUGAAGGAACGUUGAAGACGACGACGUUGAUAGGCCGGGUGUGUAAGCGCAGCGAUGCGUUGAGCUAACCGGUACUAAUGAACCGUGAGGCUUAACCUU
rnacentral:rRNA from 3 species